GAGGUGGGGUUGCUCCGGCAAGACCCUCCGACGCUCAAGUCAGUACUCUGCCUCAACAAGAAUGGAGUGCUCGAACGGAGAAUUUAGCAGAGUUUUGAGAUAGAAAAAAGAGCUUAGAGAAUAACGUAUCUGGGUCCCCCUUUUAUAGGCGGAGGAGGCAACGGAUUGAUGGCGACGUUUGUAACCGUCUGGUAGUGGACCGCCCGUAGUCAGGGAAAUUGAUUGCAAAGGAUAGUGGAGUAGACGCGUGGCCAUCACGGAGGCUUGCCACGUGGAAUCUGU
rnacentral:lncRNA from 1 species